AAUUUAUUACUUUAUAAUCAGGUCUCAUUUCACUCUUUGAACCAACUAUGCAAGCUCGCUUUGCAUGUCUUAUGUCUAGCAAGUAUCUCGGACAUAGCUGCCUACUACAUGUGGUAUUACAUGUGUUCCAAAUGCCCAAAAAUGGUUUACCCCAAGAACAAUCAUUUUGUGUGUGCAGACCAUGAUAUCAUACCUUAUCCCAAGUACAUGUAUUGUGUUAACGCCACGAUAAAUGACCACACUUCAGACGAUUAAGUGUAUUCUUAAGUGAGGCGAUGAUGACUGAUAUUUCAAGCAUAAAUUGUACGCUGAUGAUGCACUUCUUAUUGAGCAUUGGUCUAUAAGAGGAGUUGGUUAGAUGUGUGUAAAGCAUAAUUGCCUAAACAUUUUGGCAUAUAUAGAAGUACCGAAGGCCCUCUUGGAAGGCGAUUUAAGACUUUAAGUGGUGUGCCUCGUGACAGUCAAACUUAGUGUGAACUCAUAAAGAGGAGCUCAUCUUUUAAGAGGUGAGAUUCAAUAUGCGCAAGGUAACUAAAGGAAAUGUAACGAUAAAGUCGUGUGGAUCUUGGAGGGCAACCAUGAUUUUGAAGUGUGUGCGAGAGAUAUUGUUGUGCAGUUUCUGCUAUCAUGUAAAAUAUUUUCACGAAAAUACUUUUAUGAAAAAAAUUUACUUGUGAUUUGU
rnacentral:lncRNA from 1 species